CGUAGGUGGCAAGCGUUGUCCGGAAUUAUUGGGCGUAAAGCGCGCGCAGGUGGUUUCUUAAGUCUGAUGUGAAAGCCCACGGCUCAACCGUGGAGGGUCAUUGGAAACUGGGGAACUUGAGUGCAGGAGAGAAGAGUGGAAUUCCACGUGUAGCGGUGAAAUGCGUAGAGAUGUGGAGGAACACCAGUGGCGAAGGCGACUCUUUGGCCUGUAACUGACACUGAGGCGCGAAAGCGUGGGGAGCAAACAGGAUUAGAUACCCUGGUAGUCCACGCCGUAAACGAUGAGUGCUAAGUGUUAGAGGGUUUCCGCCCUUUAGUGCUGCAGCAAACGCAUUAAGCACUCCGCCUGGGGAUACGGCCGCAAGGCUG
rnacentral:rRNA from 1 species